rnacentral:rRNA from 1 species
AGUGAACGCUGGCGGUGGGCCUAACACAUGCCAGUCGAGCGGCAGCACAGUAAGAGCUUGCUCUUACGGGUGGCGAGUGGCGGACGGGUGAGGAAUACAUCGGAAUCUACUUUUUCGUGGGGGAUAACGUAGGGAAACUUACGCUAAUACCGCAUACGACCUACGGGUGAAAGCAGGGGAUCUUCGGACCUUGCGCGAUUGAAUGAGCCGAUGUCGGAUUAGCUAGUUGGCGGGGUAAAGGCCCACCAAGGCGACGAUCCGUAGCUGGUCUGAGAGGAUGAUCAGCCACACUGGAACUGAGACACGGUCCAGACUCCUACGGGAGGCAGCAGUGGGGAAUAUUGGACAAUGGGCGCAAGCCUGAUCCAGCCAUACCGCGUGGGUGAAGAAGGCCUUCGGGUUGUAAAGCCCUUUUGUUGGGAAAGAAAAGCAGCAGGUUAAUACCCCGCUGUUCUGACGGUACCCAAAGAAUAAGCACCGGCUAACUUCGUG